rnacentral:rRNA from 1 species
AGCGGCGGACGGGUGAGUAACGCGUGGGAAUCUACCCUCUUGUGGGGGAUAACUUGGGGAAACCCAAGCUAAUACCGCAUAAGUCCUAAGGGAGAAAGCGGGGGAUCUUCGGACCUCGCGCAAGGGGAUGAGCCCGCGUCAGAUUAGCUAGUUGGUAGGGUAAAGGCCUACCAAGGCGACGAUCUGUAACUGGUCUGAGAGGAUGAUCAGUCACACCGGAACUGAGACACGGUCCGGACUCCUACGGGAGGCAGCAGUGGGGAAUCUUGGACAAUGGGGGAAACCCUGAUCCAGCCAUGCCGCGUGUGUGAAGAAGGCCUUAGGGUUGUAAAGCACUUUCAGCAGGGAGGAAGGCUUUAGCUUAAUACGCUGAAGUACUUGACGUUACCUGCAGAAGAAGCACCGGCUAAUUUCGUGCCAGCAGCCGCGGUAAUACGAAAGGUGCGAGCGUUAAUCGGAAUUACUGGGCGUAAAGCGCGCGUAGGCGGCUACUUAAGUCGGAUGUGAAAUCCCCGGGCUCAACCUGGGAACUGCAUCCGAUACUGGGUAGCUAGAGUGCAGUAGAGGGAGGUGGAAUUUCAGGUGUAGCGGUGAAAUGCGUAGAGAUCUGAAGGAACACCAGUGGCGAAGGCGGCCUCCUGGACUGGCACUGACGCUGAGGUGCGAAAGCGUGGGGAUCAAACAGGAUUAGAUACCCUGGUAGUCCACGCCGA